rnacentral:lncRNA from 1 species
CUAGUUGUCCGUCCACUCCCCCUCCCUCUCAAUUACCCAAAUCGCCGAAAUCCCUAAUCCCGACUUCUGGAUCGCAUUCUUUAUUGUCGAUUCAUCCAUCAACUUCUCAUUCAUUUCUCUGUCUGGAUCACACAUGAACAAGUGUUUUUGUGAACGAACCGGUAGGUGGUCUGUUCACAACGUCGCACAAUCUCAAAUUCUCAAUGUACGUAAUGAUGAUUGCAUCUUUUUUUUUCCAUUCACUCCGAAGUGUGAUUAGAAUCUCGUUAUAUGCAUGGAUGUUUUUUCAAUCACAAGAUUCAAAUUAUAAGAUUGCUAAUUGUUUGGUCUGAAUUUUUUUUUGGUGAUUUUUUUUUAAUGUGAUUGAUCGAUGAAUGAUGAUAUGAUGAUUUAUGAGUUCAAUGCGUUCCACCCCAAAAAUACAAAAUUCAUCAAUAAUUUUAUUUAGUCUAACUAUUGUAAUUUGCAGGUUUACUUUUGGUGAUCUAUCAUUUUUUAUAUUUUCUUUCAGCUUUUUUUGAAUUAAAUAUGAUAGUUCCAGCUUAUUCACGAAAAGCUACAAAUGUUCUGGAGGAAUCAUGUCAUCAUCAUCAGAAUGCAGAUGUUAUUUUAAAGGUUUCUAUGAACAGGGAAAUCCCAAGGUAUGUUCGUAUGAUAUAAAAUACAAAUGAAUGAAUAACUUAAUGUUAGCAUUGAGAUUUGUACAUAGGUUACUGUGGCCGCACCCAGCCGCAUGGGGGCAGUCCACACUUAACAGUUUUUUUAAAGUAUUUUAGAUGCAGGUAGAGGUCAUUUUUUGGAGAACAUAUGCAUACAAACCAAACGUAUUCAAUAGAAAUUAUAUAGAAUAGUAACAUUGUUUGCAAGUAAAACAAAUAUUGAGGAGUACUUAUCAAUUACUUACGGAGUAAUUAUAAAUCAUUGUUGGCAGAUUCACCAUCUUAUCAGCUUCAUCUAAUCGGAUCGAUCCGAUUAGAUCUUUUCGAUUUUUUCCGCCUUCACAACUGGAUUCGCCUUCGCAAUUGCAUCUU